AAAAGAAGAGUGGCGAACGGGUGAGUAACACGUGGGUAACCUGCCCAUCAGAAGGGGAUAACACUUGGAAACAGGUGCUAAUACCGUAUAACAAUCGAAACCGCAUGGUUUUGAUUUGAAAGGCGCUUUCGGGUGUCGCUGAUGGAUGGACCCGCGGUGCAUUAGCUAGUUGGUGAGGUAACGGCUCACCAAGGCCACGAUGCAUAGCCGACCUGAGAGGGUGAUCGGCCACAUUGGGACUGAGACACGGCCCAAACUCCUACGGGAGGCAGCAGUAGGGAAUCUUCGGCAAUGGACGAAAGUCUGACCGAGCAACGCCGCGUGAGUGAAGAAGGUUUUCGGAUCGUAAAACUCUGUUGUUAGAGAAGAACAAGGAUGAGAGUAACUGUUCAUCCCUUGACGGUAUCUAACCAGAAAGCCACGGCUAACUACGUGCCAGCAGCCGCGGUAAUACGUAGGUGGCAAGCGUUGUCCGGAUUUAUUGGGCGUAAAGCGAGCGCAGGCGGUUUCUUAAGUCUGAUGUGAAAGCCCCCGGCUCAACCGGGGAGGGUCAUUGGAAACUGGGAGACUUGAGUGCAGAAGAGGAGAGUGGAAUUCCAUGUGUAGCGGUGAAAUGCGUAGAUAUAUGGAGGAACACCAGUGGCGAAGGCGGCUCUCUGGUCUGUAACUGACGCUGAGGCUCGAAAGCGUGGGGAGCAAACAGGAUUAGAUACCCUGGUAGUCCACGCCGUAAACGAUGAGUGCUAAGUGUUGGAGGGUUUCCGCCCUUCAGUGCUGCAGCUAACGCAUUAAGCACUCCGCCUGGGGAGUACGACCGCAAGGUUGAAACUCAAAGGAAUUGACGGGGGCCCGCACAAGCCGGUGGAGCAUGUGGUUUAAUU
rnacentral:rRNA from 1 species